UUUAUUUCAAAUAAGUUUAAGUUAAGAAGUUACUUCUUAUUUUAUUUAUCUUAAAUUACUAAUCCGAGGUAAAAGGAGAACAUGUAGCUGGAAUCAAGGUAGAUUUUAAGCGGAAAUCAGAGACGAAAAUAUCUAUCAAGAAAUUUUCAUCCCGAUCUGCAAGCCAUGUUUGGACAGGGAAAUAGAUUAUUGAAGCAUUCGAGGGGAACUAAAAAGAUUGAGUCUCCAGUUUUCUUUGCAUUGCUGAUUUUGGUGAUAGUUGCAUUGGUGCUUUUCUUUGGAAAAAAUGGUGAUAAGUCCGAUUUGAUGAUGCCUGAUCUUGAUAGCCAAAAAUGGGAUAGCUUUGACUAAUUGGGUCGAUUAAAUCCAACUGUGGAAUCGAGGAAUGGGACUGAUUUAAUCUGGCAGAUUCCUGACUCACCGAAGGGCGUUGUCUUCUUGGCUCAUGGAUGCAGCGGUAGAGCAGCUAAUUUUUGGGAUAAGUCGCCUAAGUGCCCGAAUUGUGUCGGUUUACCUGAAGAGAGGCUCAUUGUGCUUCAUGCUCUGGCUAGAAAAUUUGCUGUGUUUGCCAUAUUGAGCAAAGGUGUAUGCUGGUCGCUAGGGGAGGAGCGGGGGAUCGUUAAAAGUAUGAUCCGGUGGUGGAUAUCUGAGCAAAUGUUAGACAAGCUGCCUGUAUAUGCAAUGGGUGCCUCCUCUGGUGGAUACUUUGUCUCUGCUCUCGCCACCGAGUUUCAGUUUCAAGCUAUUGCCGUGAUGAUCGCUGGAGGGGUGUAUAGUCAUUUGGAUAUAACAAAGAAGUAUCCAGCUACACUCUUUGUGCACAUGCCCAAAGAUGAAAAACGAAACCGGAAAAUAGAGAAGUAUCUAGUAGUGAUGAGGGUAUUGAUAUUGCAGAAGUGAAAUGCAUGGAAUUCCCUUUGACACCUCAGUUUUGUUCCAACAGAAUUCCAGGUCUCAGUCGAAAUUUGUCAGUGAAGUUAAUUAAUGUUUUCCAGGAUAAGGGCUUUAUUGACGAGAACGGUUACAUGAGGGAUGAUGGGCGUGUGAUACCGUGGAAAACAGCAAUUGAGGAGAGAAACGUUUUUCUCCCAAAGAAGUCACUGGUCAAUCAUAUUCAGGAAGAAAUGAAUCUUGCAUUUGCUUAUCAUGAAAUGACUAGCUUGCAAUCUCAGGAAAUCCUUGACUGGUUUGAAUCUCAUAAGAAAUGAAGAGCAACUCAAAGCUUGCAAGUGCAAUGCAUAAAUCUGGCAGAUUUGAUCGGUCUACCAAUUUUGUUUAGUUGUGCAAGCCGGAGUUUUACCCAGUUUAGUACGAAGCUUUGCAUAUCGUAUCUUAUACUAUAUGGUUGGAUGAGAGUCUUCCAACAUCAGGCACUAUAUGUAAUUGUCUGCUGUCAAUGAAUCAUCCAAUAUAAUUAGUUGCUUCAUAAA